rnacentral:rRNA from 1 species
UACGUAGGGGGCAAGCGUUGUCCGGAUUUAUUGGGCGUAAAGAGCGUGUAGGCGGCCAAGCAGGUCCGCUGUGAAAACUCGAGGCUCAACCUUCAGACGUCGACCGAAACCAUCUGGCUAGAGUCCGGGAGAGGAGAGUGGAAUUCCUGGUGUAGCGGUGAAAUGCGCAGAUAUCAGGAAGAACACCCGUGGCGAAAGCGGCUCUCUGGAACGGUACUGACGCUGAGACGCGAAAGCGUGGGGAGCGAACAGG